rnacentral:rRNA from 1 species
CAAUAAAAAAUCUUUGGUUGGGGCAACCACGAAGAAAAAAAAACCUUCGUUUUUUAAAAGAAUUAACAAAUUCAAAAUUAAUAAAUCAUGACCCAAAAUAUAUUGAUAAAAGGAAAAAGUUACCGCAGGGAUAACAGCGUUAUUUUCUUUAAGAGCCCAUAUUGACAAGAAAGUUUGCGACCUCGAUGUUGGACCGGGGUAUCCAAGAAGUGCAAAAGCCUCUAAAGGUAGGUCUGUUCGACCUUUAAAACCCUACGCGAUCUGAGUUCAGACCGACGCAAGUCAGGUCAGUUUCUAUCUA